CGGCUCAGUAACACGUCGGUAACUGCCCUACAGUCGGGAAUAACCUCGGGAAACUGAGGGUAAAUCCCGAUAGGCGAGUCUCCUGGAAUGGGUUCUCGCUCAAAUUCGUGCUGUAGGAUGGGCCGGCGGCUGAUUAGGCUGUUGGUGGGGUAACGGCCCACCAAACCGAAGACCAGUACGGGCCUUGAGAGAGGUAGCCCGGAGAGGGACACUGAGAUACGGGUCCCAGCCCUACGGGGUGCAGCAGGCGCGAAAACUUCUCAAUGCACGAAAGUGUGAAGAGGGGAUACUCAGUGCUUACGCUUCUGGCGUAGGCUUUUGUCGAGCGUAGACAGCUCGGCGAAUAAGUGGUGGGCAAGACCGGUGCCAGCCGCCGCGGUAACACCGGCGCCACGAGUGGUCAUCACGAUUAUUGGGCCUAAAGCGUCCGUAGCCGGCUUAGUGCAUCCCUUGUGAAAUUGUGCGGCUUAACCGCACAGCGUGCAGGGGACACGACUAAGCUCGAGACCGGGAGGGGACAGAAGUAUUCCGUGGGGACCGGUAAAAUGGGAUAAUCCACGGAGGACUACCGAUGGCGAAGGCAUCUGUCCAGAACGGAUCUGACGGUGAGGGACGAAAGCCAGGGGAGCGAACCGGAUUAGAUACCCGAGUAGUCCUGGCCGUAAACGCUGUGAGCUAGGUGUCGCGUGUCCCACGUGGACGCGCGGUGUCGCAACGAAGG
rnacentral:rRNA from 1 species